rnacentral:miRNA from 2 species
CUUCGUAGAUUAUUACUCCCAA